GGGGCUGAUUCUGGAUUCGACGGGAUUUGCGAAACCCAAGGUGCAUGCCGAGGGGCGGUUGGCCUCGUAAAAAGCCGCAAAAAAUAGUCGCAAACGACGAAAACUACGCUUUAGCAGCUUAAUAACCUGCUUAGAGCCCUCUCUCCCUAGCCUCCGCUCUUAGGACGGGGAUCAAGAGAGGUCAAACCCAAAAGAGAUCGCGUGUAAGCCCUGCCUGGGGUUGAAGCGUUAAAACUUAAUCAGGCUAGUUUGUUAGUGGCGUGUCCGUCCGCAGCUGGCAAGCGAAUGUAAAGACUGACUAAGCAUGUAGUACCGAGGAUGUAGGAAUUUCGGACGCGGGUUCAACUCCCGCCAGCUCCACCA
rnacentral:tmRNA from 1 species